rnacentral:rRNA from 1 species
GGGUGCAAGCGUUGUCCGGAAUUAUUGGGCGUAAAGAGCUCGUAGGCGGUCUGUCGCGUCUGCUGUGAAAACUCAGGGCUUAACCCUGAGCUUGCAGUGGGUACGGGCAGACUAGAGUGCGGUAGGGGAGACUGGAAUUCCUGGUGUAGCGGUGAAAUGCGCAGAUAUCAGGAGGAACACCGGUGGCGAAGGCGGGUCUCUGGGCCGUAACUGACGCUGAGGAGCGAAAGCGUGGGGAGCGAACAGG